rnacentral:rRNA from 1 species
GAUUUCUGACUUGAAACAUCUAGCCGGCCACGGUUUCGUGUGUUAGUGCUUGGUGUUCUGGUCAUCCUUCCAAUCGCUACUGACUCUUCUUCAUUGAUUGGUCAGUGGUAUUGGAUCUUUUACUUUGAAAAAAUUAGAGUGUUUCAAGCAGGCUUUAUGCUAUGAAUACAUUAGCAUGGAAUAAUAAUUUAGGACUUUGGUUCUAUUUUGUUGGUUUCUAGGACUGAAGUAAUGAUUGAUAGGGACAGUUGGGGGUGCUAGUAUUCAGCGGCCAGAGGUGAAAUUCUCGGAUUCGCUGAAGACUAACUUAUGCGAAAGCAUU